GAAUCUUUCUCUUCCCUUCCCAAUCUGACUGUAAGUUCUCCCUGUGUAAGGAGAGAGGGUUGUGUUUCAAUGCUGGUGUACACCAAGUAUGUCUAAACUUAGUAAUGGUAAAAACAAACAUGCAAAAUGACAACAUUUCUGGAAUCAGGGUGGUGAAACUGCUUGGUCUUUCUCUUUGUGUCCUCUAAUGUAUUUUAUAUUUAAUUAAACCCAAGGGUCUGCUGCCUUCCACUCUAGGGCCUUGGUUCUCGAGAGAAGGUAUUUGUCUAUAAUUCCUAGCCUGAUGGUUUAGCUGCCCACUCUGAGCUGUUCAGCCCCAGAUCUUGAGAAUCAAGGGGUGGAGAGUGAAAAAUGUAUGGAGAGGCAGGCACCUUGCUUUCACUUCCACCUCUAAAAUGAUAGUGCAGUAUUCUUCUCACAUAUGCCUGCCAUCGUCCUUCUGUUUGCAUCUCUCACAUCCCCUCCACUAGCCUCUCCCCUCCUUACAAUAAAAAAAAAAGUCCUUGAAUUUAGACUGAUCCAAGGUCCAGGGUCAUCUCACUACCUCCUCCCCUCCCAAGCACCAGUGGUAGAGUGGGCUUUAUCCCUUGAACAAGGACAGUGAACCUGUUAAAGAAAGAAGAUCCAACAAAAUCCAGAAGAAUGAACACAACUCAAAAAAGACUGUCAGGAGUAUGUUCUCAGCUGAGUGCUGAGUGAGAUCACCAUUCCCCAUGAUCUCAGGCAGUAGAAGAGCCUUGAGAAUGUGGAAGACAGGCCCAAAUUCUGCCUUAAAGGAAAUAUU
rnacentral:lncRNA from 1 species